UACGUAGGGACCAAGCGUUGUCCGGAAUCAUUGGGCGUAAAGCGCGUGUAGGUGGUCGUCCAAGUUGGAUGUGAAAGCCUUGAGCUUAACUCAAGAAAUGCAUUCAGGACUGGGCGACUAGAGGACCGGAGAGGAUAGUGGAAUUCCCAGUGUAGUGGUGAAAUACGUAGAGAUUGGGAAGAACACCAGUGGCGAAGGCGGCUAUCUGGACGGUUUCUGACACUAAGACUCGAAAGCGUGGGGAGCAAACAGG
rnacentral:rRNA from 1 species